rnacentral:rRNA from 1 species
CUUGCAGGGUACUCGAGUGGCGAACGGGUGAGUAACACGUGGGUGAUCUGCCCUGCACUUCGGGAUAAGCCUGGGAAACUGGGUCUAAUACCGGAUAGGACCAUCGUUUAGUGUCGGUGGUGGAAAGUUUUUCGGUGCAGGAUGAGCCCGCGGCCUAUCAGCUUGUUGGUGGGGUAAUGGCCUACCAAGGCGUCGACGGGUAGCCGGCCUGAGAGGGUGGACGGCCACAUUGGGACUGAGACACGGCCCAGACUCCUACGGGAGGCAGCAGUGGGGAAUAUUGCACAAUGGGCGCAAGCCUGAUGCAGCGACGCCGCGUGGGGGAUGAAGGCCUUCGGGUUGUAAACUCCUUUCAGCAGGGACGAAGCUUUUGUGACGGUACCUGCAGAAGAAGCACCGGCUAACUACGUGCCAGCAGCCGCGGUAAUACGUAGGGUGCGAGCGUUGUCCGGAAUUACUGGGCGUAAAGAGCUCGUAGGUGGUUUGUCGCGUCGUCUGUGAAAUUCCGGGGCUUAACUCCGGGCGUGCAGGCGAUACGGGCAUAACUUGAGUGCUGUAGGGGAGACUGGAAUUCCUGGUGUAGCGGUGAAAUGCGCAGAUAUCAGGAGGAACACCGAUGGCGAAGGCAGGUCUCUGGGCAGUUACUGACGCUGAGGAGCGAAAGCAUGGGUAGCGAACAGGAUUAGAUACCCUGGUAGUCCAUGCCGUAAACGGUGGGCGCUACGUGUGGGGGUCUUCCACGACUUCUGUGCCGUAGCUAACGCAUUAAGCGCCCCGC